GGCUGUUUAGCCAAAGGGGAGACAGUCGGUCUCCCCCUCCAGCAGCAGAGAUGGGUAACCAAAGGGGAGACGGUCGGUCUCCAGCAGCAGGUCUGUGCAUCUAAAGGGGAGACAGUCAGUCUCCAGCAGCAGCAGCAGAGCGGUGUAUUUAAAGGGGAGACAGUCGGUCUCCCCCUCCAACAACCAGGCUUCCACCAGGCUACCCUCCCAGUAGCGCUGGCAACAGGGCAGAGUGCCGCUG